GAUGAAGAACGCAGCGAAAUGUGAUAAGUAAUGUGAAUUGCAGAAUUCAGUGAAUCAUCGAAUCUUUGAACGCACAUUGCGCCCAUUAGUAUUCUAGUGGGCAUGCCUGUUCGAGCGUCAUUAAGUCCACUUAAGCCCUGCUUAGUGUUGGGAGACUGCUCCAGCGGUGCUACCCUGUAGCUACCCUGCAGCUCCUCAAAGACAGCGGCGGAGUUGUGGUAUCCUCUGAGCUUAGUAACUUGUUCUAGCUUUCGAGUACACCACUUCCCCUGCCGUAAAACCCUUAAUUUUUAAUGGUUGACCUCGGAUCAGGUAGGAAUACCCGCUGAACUUAAGCAUAUCAAUAAGCGGAGGA
rnacentral:misc_RNA from 1 species